rnacentral:rRNA from 1 species
AUUGAACGCUGGCGGCAUGCUUUACACAUGCAAGUCGAACGGCAGCGCGGGCUUCGGCCUGGCGGCGAGUGGCGAACGGGUGAGUAGUGCAUCGGAACGUGCCCAGUAGUGGGGGAUAGCCCGGCGAAAGCCGGAUUAAUACCGCAUACGACCUGAGGGUGAAAGCGGGGGACCGAAAGGCCUCGCGCUAUUGGAGCGGCCGAUGUCGGAUUAGCUAGUUGGUGGGGUAAAGGCUUACCAAGGCGACGAUCCGUAGCUGGUCUGAGAGGACGACCAGCCAAAUUGGACUGAGGCCCGGCCCCGGCCUCCAAGGGGGGGCAGAGGUGGGGAAUUUUGAAAAUGGGGGCAACCCUGAUCCAGCCAUGCCGCGUGCGGGAAGAAGGCCUUCGGGUUGUAAACCGCUUUUGUUCGGGAAGAAAUCCUCUGGGCUAAUACCCCGGGGGGAUGACGGUACCGGAAGAAUAAGCACCGGCUAACUACGUG